UAGGUUUAUUGGUGAUAUAAUGAUGUUGUUUUUGAUGUAUGUUUACAGCAGCUAGCCUUGAUAUUCACCUUGAGCUGAAUAUAGUGACUUUUGAAGCUGGUUUUGGUUGUGGUUUAUCUAUUCUAACUCAGAGGAAAACUCAGUUGGAGCUAUUGGAAGGUUCGCAUUGGACCAUUUGAGCUCUUUUGGCUGAGAUUUGGGAGCUUUUAAAGGUUGAUUUUGGUGUUCUAAUUUGAACCGAAGUUGGAAUUCAAGCCUUAACACUACAUUAGGGUGCUUGGAGGCUUCGGCUUAUCUUUUCUUGCUAAAGCGACGA